AUAAGGAGUCGAACCUGCCCAGUGAAAUUUUUCAACGGCCGCGGUACUCUGACCGUGCAAAGGUAGCAUAAUCAUUUGCCUUAUAAUUGAAGGCUAGUAUGAAUGGUUUGACAAGAAUAUAACUGUCUCUUUAUAACUUAGUAGAAUUUUAUUUUAGGGUGAAGAAGUCCUAAUUAAAUUAAAAGACAAGAAGACCCUAUCGAGCUUGAAAUAACUUAGUAGAUUUUAAUUUAUAGUAAGUAUAAAAAGUCAACUAUUAAAAAUUUUGGUUGGGGCGACUAAGGAACAAAGAAAGCUUCCUUUAAAAAUAAUAAACAGGUAAGUGCUGAUCCAAAAUUUGUGAUUAAAAAAAUUAGUUACCGUAGGGAUAACAGCAUUAUCUUUUUUAAGAGCUCUUAUCGAAAAAAAGGUUUGUGACCUCGAUGUUGGACCAGAAUAUCCUAAAGAUGCAGAAGUCUUUAAGGGUUGGUCUGUUCGACCAUUAAAAUUCUA
rnacentral:rRNA from 1 species